rnacentral:rRNA from 1 species
UUAAAACUUUCAACAACGGAUCUCUUGGUUCUGGCAUCGAUGAAGAACGCAGCGAAAUGCGAUAAGUAAUGUGAAUUGCAGAAUUCAGUGAAUCAUCGAAUCUUUGAACGCACAUUGCGCCCCCUGGUAUUCCGGGGGGCAUGCCUGUUCGAGCGUCAUUA